GCGUAAAGGGUGCGUAGGUGGUCUUUCAAGUCGGUGGUUAAAGGCUACGGCUCAACCGUAUUAAGCCGCCGAAACUGGAAGACUUGAGUGCAGGAGAGGAAAGUGGAAUUCUCAGUGUAGCGGUGAAAUGCGUAGAUAUUGAGAAGAACACCAGUAGCGAAGGCGGCUUUCUGGACUGUAACUGACACUGAGGCACGAAAGCGUGGGUAGCAAACAGGAUUAGAUACCCUGGUAGUCCACGCCGUAAACGAUGAGUAUUAGGUGUCGGGGGUUACCCCCCUCGGUGCCGCAGUUAACGCAUUAAAUACUCCGCCUGGGGAGUACGCACGCAAGUGUGAAACUCAAAGGAAUUGACGGGGACCCGCACAAGUAGCGGAGCAUGUGGUUUAAUUCGAAGCAACGCGAAGAACCUUACCUAAGCUUGACAUCUCUCAGAUCGGUAGUUAAUCCUACCUUCCCUUCGGGGCUGAGAUGACAGGUGGUGCAUGGUU
rnacentral:rRNA from 1 species